GAUGAACGCUGGCGGCGUGCCUAAUACAUGCAAGUCGAGCGAACAGACGAGGAGCUUGCUCCUCUGACGUUAGCGGCGGACGGGUGAGUAACACGUGGAUAACCUACCUAUAAGACUGGGAUAACUUCGGGAAACCGGAGCUAAUACCGGAUAAUAUAUUGAACCGCAUGGUUCAAUAGUGAAAGACGGUUUUGCUGUCACUUAUAGAUGGAUCCGCGCCGCAUUAGCUAGUUGGUAAGGUAACGGCUUACCAAGGCGACGAUGCGUAGCCGACCUGAGAGGGUGAUCGGCCACACUGGAACUGAGACACGGUCCAGACUCCUACGGGAGGCAGCAGUAGGGAAUCGUCCGCAAUGGGCGAAAGCCUGGCGGAGCAACGCCGCGUGAGUGAUGAAGGUCUUCGGAUCGUAAAACUCUGUUAUUAGGGAAGAACAAAUGUGUAAGUAACUAUGCACGUCUUGACGGUACCUAAUCAGAAAGCCACGGCUAACUACGUG
rnacentral:rRNA from 1 species